UAAGACAGAGGUGCCAAGCGUUAGGCGGAAUCACUGGGCUUAAAGCGUGUGUAGGCGGAUGGCUAAGUGUCUUGUGAAAUCCCACAGCUCAACUGUGGAACUGCUCGACAUACUGGUCAUCUUGAGCAACCUAGGGGCGAGCGGAACAAGUGGUGGAGCGGUGAAAUGCGUAGAUAUCACUUGGAACGCCAAUGGUGAAAACAGCUCGCUGGGGGUUUGCUGACGCUGAGACACGAAAGCCAGGGGAGCAAACGGGAUUAGAUACCCCGGUAGUCCUGGCCGUAAACGAUGUCGACUAGAUCGUGGUGCCUCUGACGGUAUCAUGGUCGAAGCAAAAGUGCUAAGUCGACCGCCUGGGAAGUACGGUCGCAAGGCUA
rnacentral:rRNA from 1 species